CCCUUAGAUGUUCUGGGCCGCACGCGCGCUACACUGACGAAUGCAACGAGCUUAUAACCUUGGCCGAAAGGUCUGGGUAAUCUCCAAAUUUCGUCGUGAUGGGGAUAGAUUAUUGCAAUUAUUAAUCUUCAACGAGGAAUGCCUAGUAAGCGCAAGUCAUCAGCUUGCGUUGAUUACGUCCCUGCCCUUUGUACGCACCGCCCGUCGCUCCUACCGAUUGAAUGGUCCGGUGAAGCGUUCGGACCGUGGCCUUUGGACGGUUCGCCGUCUGUUGGCUGCGGGAAGUUCGUUAAACCUUAUCAUUUAGAGGAAGGAGAAGUCGUAACA
rnacentral:rRNA from 1 species